CUCUUACUUGGAUCUGCAAUUAGUAUUUUAAUCAUAGAUUGUAUUUAGUUUUCAGUACUAACUGCAGAUUCAAGUGAGGG
rfam:Pongo abelii chromosome 5.